GACGAACGCUGGCGGCGUGCUUAACACAUGCAAGUCGAACGGUGAAGCGCCUUCCUUUUUGGUGGGUGUGGAUGAGUGGCGAACGGGUGAGUAACACGUGAGUAACCUGCCCCCUUCUUCUGGAUAACCGCAUGAAAGUGUGGCUAAUACGGGAUAUUCUGGGUCUGUCGCAUGAUGGGUCUGGGAAAGAUAUUGUUUCGGUGGGGGAUGGGCUCGCGGCCUAUCAGCUUGUUGGUGGGGUGAUGGCCUACCAAGGCGGUGACGGGUAGCCGGCCUGAGGGGGUGGACGGCCCCACUGGGACUGAGAAACGGCCCAGACUCCUACGGGAGGCAGCAGUGGGGAAUAUUGCACAAUGGGCGAAAGCCUGAUGCAGCGACGCCGCGUGAGGGAUGGAGGCCUUCGGUUUGUGAACCUCUUUCGCCAGUGAAGCAGGCCUGCCUCGUUUGUGGGUGGGUUGACGGUAGCUGGAUAAGAAGCGCCGGCUAACUACGUG
rnacentral:rRNA from 1 species